CUUCCGCGUGAGUGAAGAAGGCCUUCGGGUUGUAAAGCUCUUUUGUCCGGAACGAAACGGCUAGCGUGAACAUCGCUGGCUAAUGACGGUACCGGAAGAAUAAGCACCGGCUAACUACGUGCCAGCAGCCGCGGUAAUACGUAGGGUGCGAGCGUUAAUCGGAAUUACUGGGCGUAAAGCGUGCGCAGGCGGUUUUGUAAGCCAGAUGUGAAAUCCCCGGGCUUAACCUGGGAAUGGCAUUUGGGACUGCAAGGCUGGAGUGCGGCAGAGGAGACUGGAAUUCCCGGUGUAGCAGUGAAAUGCGUAGAUAUCGGGAGGAAUACCGAUGGCGAAGGCAGGUCUCUGGGCUGACACUGACGCUCAUGCACGAAAGCGUGGGGAGCAAACAGGAUUAGAUACCCUGGUAGUCCACGCCCUAAACGAUGUCGACUGGUUGUUGGGGGUUUGACACUCUCAGUAACGAAGCUAACGCGUGAAGUCGACCGCCUGGGGAGUACGGCCGCAAGGUUA
rnacentral:rRNA from 1 species